UACGUAGGGUGCGAGCGUUGUCCGGAAUUAUUGGGCGUAAAGAGCUUGUAGGCGGUCUGUCGCGUCUGCUGUGAAAAUCCGGGGCUCAACCCCGGACUUGCAGUGGGUACGGGCAGACUAGAGUGUGGUAGGGGAGACUGGAAUUCCGUGGUGUAGCGGUGAAAUGCGCAGAUAUCAGGAGGAACACCGGUGGCGAAGGCGGAUCUCUGGGCCUUACCUGACGCUCAGGUGCGAAAGCUAGGGGAGCGAACAGG
rnacentral:rRNA from 1 species